rnacentral:rRNA from 1 species
GACGAACGCUGGCGGCGCGCCUAACACAUGCAAGUCGAACGAGCGAGAGGAGGUUUACUUUCUCAAGCGAGUGGCGAACGGGUGAGUAACGCGUGAGGAACCUGCCUCAAAGAGGGGGACAACAGUUGGAAACGACUGCUAAUACCGCAUAAGCCCACGACCCGGCAUCGGGUAGAGGGAAAAGGAGCAAUCCGCUUUGCGAUGGCCUCGCGUCCGAUUAGCUAGUUGGUGAGGUAAUGGCCCACCAAGGCGACGAUCGGUAGCCGGACUGAGAGGUUGAACGGCCACAUUGGGACUGAGACACGGCCCAGACUCCUACGGGAGGCAGCAGUGGGGAAUAUUGCACAAUGGGGGAAACCCUGAUGCAGCGACGCUGCGUGGAGGAAGAAGGUCUUCGGAUUGUAAACUCCUGUUGUUGAGGAAGAUAAUGACGGUACUCAACAAGGAAGUGACGGCUAACUACGUG